UGGGGAAUUUUGGACAAUGGGGGCAACCCUGAUCCAGCAAUGCCGCGUGUGUGAAGAAGACCUUCGGGUUGUAAAGCACUUUUGUCCGGAAAGAAAACGCCGUGGUUAAUACCCGUGGCGGAUGACGGUACCGGAAGAAUAAGCACCGGCUAACUACGUGCCAGCAGCCGCGGUAAUACGUAGGGUGCAAGCGUUAAUCGGAAUUACUGGGCGUAAAGCGUGCGCAGGCGGUCCGCUAAGACAGAUGUGAAAUCCCCGGGCUUAACCUGGGAACUGCAUUUGUGACUGGCGGGCUAGAGUAUGGCAGAGGGGGGUAGAAUUCCACGUGUAGCAGUGAAAUGCGUAAGAGAUGUGGAGGAAUACCGAUGGCGAAGGCAGCCCCCUGGGCCAAUAC
rnacentral:rRNA from 1 species